AUGCAGUGCUGUUUCUUUUUUACGUGAAUGGGGACAGAAGAUGUGGGGACUCCGUAUUUCCGGAGAAGUUUCCCCAUGUAUGACGACUUCCGCUUCUGAGAAAUCCGGGAAUGUGAAAAAGGCAACAAAAUGCAAACACUAACUAGUAGCUCUACAAACCAGUGUGUUUAUGUUUAUGAUAAAAAUUAAAAUAAGAAUGACAAUAAACACCGGUUUGCAAUAUAAAGCAGCUAGACGGACUGUUUUUGUAAAGAAACAUUUGAAAAUGCUUCUCGGAGGCCUUCAGCAUUCCUUCGUGGGAGAGGAGUGUAGUUCAAGCAAGAAAACCAAAACUAAAAAAAGAACAACGAGCUGGCAAGAGACGCAAAAGAGAACUCAAAAUGGAGGAGGAAGACAAGUAACUUGGCUGAAAGAAUAAUGAUAUAAAG